rnacentral:tRNA from 1 species
UCCCUGGUGGCUUAGAAGUUAAGAACUUGGCAUUGUCACUGCUGUGGCACAGGUUCGAUCCCUGGCUUGGGAA